CCCCCAUAAAUAACAAACAAACAACUAUAAAGAAACAAACAAUAAAUAGCAAGGAUAAAAACUGAAACACAAAGAAAAGAAGAAAAACUGCCUCGGAGCAGAGGAAACGAUUCAUCAGCAGAAGGAGACCUUCCAUCUUCUCUUCCAAAUAGAAAUCAUCCAAACCCAGAACUUCGAUCGUCUUCCAGUCAAAAGGUCACAAGCAAUCGUCGAAUCAAGUCCCUUCAGGAAGCUGUAAUGACCGUCAAUUUUGGUAAACCAUUUCAACAGUUUCAUGAGGGGACAACCACUUGGACGACAUGGAUCUUUACUUUUUAGGUCCAUACUUCAAAAUGGCAUGCAUGGCUGAUUUUGGAAACAAGCCACACCUUAGACAUAAAGGAGAAGGCGUAAUUUGCCUAUUGUAUAGGAUAUAGCAGUGAGAAUCAUAUUGUGUAAUAGUCUCCAAAUAGUGAUUUUAAUUUUAGAAGGGAUGUCUAGGAGCCAUAAUUUUUUUUAAACUGCACUGUAAUCUUGGGAGCUUUCCUCUGUAUUUUGAAGGUCGAUGAGGGUCAUGUAGCCACUACGGAUAAAAUACUCGCCGGAUCUAUCACCCCUCCAAACAAUCAUGUCUUCGUCAACCGAGCGGGAUAGAGGGACUUAAUGGCCUCAGCUUCCUCCAAAAGUAAACGCACUGAAAUGAGCAAACCAAUUGAAAGACUAAUAUACCAUCUAUUAAGUCCAAUUGGGGAGAUACUUUGUCUUGGGCAUUGAAGUGGAUGACUCCUAGAAGAAAGGGACAUAAAUGUGAUUGAAUGGAUUGGCAGUACAUCAGAUUAGACCCAAGUAGAAUAGAUUCUGAAUCCGUUUAUGGAUCUAUUCACUUGUGACGUUUAUAGUGUGGCACACUAAAAUAUCGAGUGGAUGGUGGACUAUGUAUGCGUGACUCGUACACUUUAAUGCAAAUAAAAGCCUGAGUUCGAAUAGAUAAGGAACCAAAAAAUGGUGCAUUGGAUGUACAAUUUUUGCAAUAUGUAGUGUCAUUCACAGCAAUGUAAUUUAUAGCUCGAUACAUGAGUAAAUGAUAUCCUUUUAUAGGUAUUACAUGGUCGAUGAAAAGUAAAUAUGGUCAUGAGUCGUUCAUCUUUGUGAUGGAUGAUUUGAUCACUAUUUGAUGGUGAUUGACUUUUCAUGAAGAAAUAUGUAAUUGUUACCAUGAGAUAAAAUAUGAUCAUAUUGGGAGAACGAACAUUAUUCCAAAGA